UACAGAGGGUGCAAGCGUUAAUCGGAAUUACUGGGCGUAAAGCGUGCGUAGUCGGUUAUCUAAGUCGGGUGUGAAAUCCCCGGGCUCAACCUGGGAAUUGCAUUCGAUACUGGAUAGCUAGAGUUCGGCAGAGGGAAGCGGAAUUUCCGGUGUAGCGGUGAAAUGCGUAGAUAUCGGAAGGAACACCUGUGGCGAAAGCGGCUCACUGGACCAUUACUGACGCUGAGGCACGAAAGCUAGGGGAGCAAACAGGA
rnacentral:rRNA from 1 species